UGGAUGUGGAGCUAAAAAGCUAAAUUGGUCUAAUUUAUUCCAAGGUAACCUGUUAGCAGCGUAAGAUAUGACAUUACAAUUUAAACUCAUAUGGUGAAAAUGGGGAAACCAUAGUGGAAUUGCGCAAGGAUGAGGUUUUUUUUUUGGUUUAAUUUGGAAUUUUAUUAAUAAUCAUCAAAAAAUAAAUGGACCAACCCAUUAUACAAUUAAUAGCCUAAUACUAUUUGAGUGACCCGGUCCAACCCGGAUCCAUUUAAAAUAUAUAUAGGCAGUGGGGUUUCCUAAAAUAUCCACUUUCCUAAUCUCUAUCAACUUCAUGCCUCCUCUCAAUAUGAAGCUUCCCUUCUUCAACUGUGAGUUCCGCCGCCUUCAUCUUUGAAUCAUUGACCAGGUGCCAUCUUUUUCAAGAUUUUCUUGCUUAUUCAACUUACAAAAGUAAGUAAAACUACCUUUAUGUUGUUGAGUUUGCUUCUUGUUGCUUGCCCACUGAUGAAACAACUUAUGUAGCUGAGUUCUCCGGUGAAUGAGACCUUGACUAGCUCUUUGAUCAGCUCUGAGAGAUCUAAUAAAUUGAAUCUGGAAGAGAUGAAGAUAGGAGAUGCUUGGACUCACGAAGAUAUUAGUACCUGUUUUACACCCAGGUUUAAGAAGCUCAAAUCGAUCCAUAGAUCCUCUCAUGAAGCUAAGAGUCCAUUUUGUUGGCUGUAGUAGACUAGGCUAGCUACAUGCUCUCCUUUUCCUAUUUUUAUUUCCUAUAAAUAUGAUGCAUGUAAACUAUGCUGCCUAAUACUUCCUUGCCCUUUAGCUUCUUAUGGGUGUAAUUCUCAAGUAAGGCCACUUCCAUUUAUCACUGUUAAGUAUGGUCUUUCCUUUUUGUUGUAGUUGCUGAAAACUAGUAAUGAUGACCUCUCUUGUAUACA